AGAGUGGCGCACGGGUGAGUAACGCGUAGGUAAUCUACCCUUAUAUUUGGGAUAACAUCGGGAAACCCAGGCUAAUACCGCAUACGCCCUUCGGGGGAAAGGCUUCGGCCGCUAUUAGAUGAGCCUAUGUCUGAUUAGCUUGUUGGUGGGGUAAUGGCCUACCAAGGCGACGAUCAGUAGCUGGUCUGAGAGGACGAUCAGCCACACUGGGACUGAGACACGGCCCAG
rnacentral:rRNA from 1 species